ensembl:lncRNA
UGGAGAACAGAGCGGACUUGUCUGCGAAAGCGGAUACCUGGAUUAAAAAACUGGCCACCACUUAAUCAGGCUCGCUGUUUUGUUUGAUAGACGUAGUUUGUUUCUUUAGUCAGAAUAAACUUUGCCUCAUUGUGCGUACAUUGUUAGUGGAUUGGGCAAGUGCGAUAACAACAGCCUUAUUUUUCUGUUGUUAGCAAGCUCUCUAGCCAUUUAGCUGGGUUAGGAUAGCUAACAGUUAGCUGGCGGAGCUUAUAUUCUAGUUUUUUUCUGUACUCCGGUGUUUAAAGUUCGCGUUUGUGUUGUUUUGUUAUAUUUUCUCUGUGAGGUUUGCUCUGUGUAAGCUGUGUUUAGCUAAUAAGCUUGGUAGCAGGUGCGUUUAGUCAAAAAGCCGUCCUUCGCAGUGUCGCACCUGGUGAAUGUAGCCCAGCGUGUCAGAUAUGCAGCACGUUAAUUUGAUCGCACGGAAGACACUUUACCGUGAACGGAAUACGAAGGGGACAGAUGAAAGCCGUUUUAUUUGACUAACGUGCUUACAAGGACAAUUAAUGGAGGUUUUGGGUUUAAACUACGCCUUGGGAUAGCAUCGAUUGUGCAGUUGUGGGGCAAUUGCAGGCGUCUGGAGAAGCUAUUUGGAGAUCUGAAUAUUCCCUGACACUGCAUGGAUUCAAUCUCGCACGUUUUGUGGAUGGGUUUUGUGGUCGUGCAAAAGCAACUGACCGAAUAAAUCUUCAGACAAGAGAAUUGCGGGCGUGAGUGAUGCAGCAGGCAUGACUGCUCUCGGAAUAAGACCAUUUUAAAACACGCCGGACCUAUGUGGCUAUAUCCAUCUGCGCUUUAAUUUAUGAUCCCACGGGGCUUCUUGCAGCCAUAGAGCCUGACGCUGCACCAUGCUGGCCUGCCUGCAGAGAAGACAGAACCAACCCCCCCAGCACCCGGUCUGUGUCGGCAAGAUCCUGGACACUCCUGUCCUCCAGAAAAGUGAGCAAGAGGAGAUCCAGUACCUCCCAUGGGUCAUUAGCCUCUGCAUGUGAAAAAUGGCGUCGGAAGAUGCACCCUGACGCAGACAGUAAAAAAAACUCCCACGAAUGGCUCUGUGCAAGGUCCAUACGCUGGGUUAUGUUAUAUAGCCAGAUGGGGUGGGGUAGUUUUUGAACGAGACCUUUUGUUCUUAGUAGAGCAGCUUACCUGCAGUCAGC